rnacentral:rRNA from 1 species
GAUGAACGCUGGCGGCGUGCCUAAUACAUGCAAGUCGAGCGAACGGACGAGAAGCUUGCUUCUCUGAUGUUAGCGGCGGACGGGUGAGUAACACGUGGAUAACCUACCUAGAAGACUGGGAUAACUUCGGGAAACCGGAGCUAAUACCGGUUAAUAUUUUGAACCGCAGGGUUCUAAAGUGAAAGAGGGUCUUGCUGUCCCUUAUACAUGUAUCCGCGCUGCAUUAGCUAGUUGGUAAGGUAACGGCUUACCAAGGCAACGAUGCAUAGCCGACCUGAGAGGGUGAUCGGCCACACUGGAACUGAGACACGGUCCAGAAUCCUACGGGAGGCAGCAGUAGGGAAUCUUCCGCAAUGGGCGAAAGCCUGACGGAGCAACGCCGCGUGAGUGAUGAAGGUCUUCGGAUUGUAAAACUCUGUUAUUAGGGAAGAACAUAUGUGUGAGUAACUGUGCACAUCUUGACGGUACCUAAACAGAAAGCCACGGCUAACUACGUG